rnacentral:rRNA from 1 species
AAGUCGAACGCUUUUUCUUUCACCGGAGCUUGCUCCACCGAAAGAAAAGGAGUGGCGAACGGGUGAGUAACACGUGGGUAACCUGCCCAUCAGAAGGGGAUAACACUUGGAAACAGGUGCUAAUACCGUAUAACAAUCGAAACCGCAUGGUUUCGGUUUGAAAGGCGCUUUUGCGUCACUGAUGGAUGGACCCGCGGUGCAUUAGCUAGUUGGUGAGGUAACGGCUCACCAAGGCAACGAUGCAUAGCCGACCUGAGAGGGUGAUCGGCCACAUUGGGACUGAGACACGGCCCAAACUCCUACGGGAGGCAGCAGUAGGGAAUCUUCGGCAAUGGACGGAAGUCUGACCGAGCAACGCCGCGUGAGUGAAGAAGGUUUUCGGAUCGUAAAACUCUGUUGUUAGAGAAGAACAAGGAUGAGAGUAGAAUGUUCAUCCCUUGACGGUAUCUAACCAGAAAGCCACGGCUAACUACGUGCCAGCAGCCGCGGUAAUACGUAGGUGGCAAGCGUUGUCCGGAUUUAUUGGGCGUAAAGCGAGCGCAGGCGGUUUCUUAAGUCUGAUGUGAAAGCCCCCGGCUCAACNCGGGGAGGGUCAUUGGAAACUGGGAAACUUGAGUGCAGAAGAGGAGAGUGGAAUUCCAUGUGUAGCGGUGAAAUGCGUAGAUAUAUGGAGGAACACCAGUGGCGAAGGCGGCUCUCUGGUCUGUAACUGACGCU